GGCUGGUCACAGAAGUAGCUGAACCAGUGCUUCUGAUGGAAAUACCAGACUCACUGAUAUCGGUGUCGUUUUCUAAUGGUGCAGGAACAGGAGACUCCAGUCUGAUAUCAUCUUGGUCGUGACGUGUGUGAUUGGCAGCCAAACUAGCCCACUGUGAUACCCAACGUUUACUUCCCGGGGCAGUAGAACCUUCCUAAGGGAGAAAAAAAGUAGAAGAAAGAUGACAACUGCUUGAUAAAAUCAUGCUCUCAUUCCAAGUUUUCCUGGAAUAGAAAUGUCAGACACUAUCUUCCUGGAGGAAACUGAAAAAGGAGUUUACUUCAAUAUAUUUUAGAUUUACCAUUUCUAGAACAGCAACAUAAAUGACUCUGUGUACGGCUGCAAAAUCAAUAUAGAAUAAACAGCAUUUCCUCACGCUAUGAAAUCAUAAACAUCAGGCCCCAUAGAAAAUAUAUUAGAACACGUG
rnacentral:lncRNA from 1 species